UGGGGAAUUUUGGACAAUGGGCGCAAGCCUGAUCCAGCAAUGCCGCGUGCAGGAUGAAGGCCUUCGGGUUGUAAACUGCUUUCGUACGGAACGAAAAAGCUCUCUCUAAUACAGGGGGUGAAUGACGGUACCGUAAGAAUAAGCACCGGCUAACUACGUGCCAGCAGCCGCGGUAAUACGUAGGGUGCAAGCGUUAAUCGGAAUUACUGGGCGUAAAGCGUGCGCAGGCGGUUUUGUAAGACAGAGGUGAAAUCCCCGGGCUCAACCUGGGAACUGCCUUUGUGACUGCAAAGCUGGAGUGCGGCAGAGGGCGAUGGAAUUCCGCGUGUAGCAGUGAAAUGCGUAGAUAUGCGGAGGAACACCGAUGGCGAAGGCAAUCCCCUGGGCCUGCACUGACGCUCAUGCACGAAAGCGUGGGUAGCAAACA
rnacentral:rRNA from 1 species